rnacentral:rRNA from 1 species
CAAUAGCGUAUAUUAAAGCUGUUGCGGUUAAAAAGCUCGUAGUUGGAUUUCUGUCAAGGACAACUGGUCCGCCCUCCGGGUGAGCACAUAGUUUGGUCUUGACAUCUUGCUGGAAGCUGUUGCUGCACUUGGCUGUGUGGCGCAGUGUUCAGCACUUUCACUUUGAGGAAAUUGGAGUGUUUCAAGCAGGCACAUGCCUUUGGACACAGUAGCAUGGAAUAAUUAGAUUGGGCUUUUGCUCCAAUUUGUCGGUUUCUGGAGCUGAGGUGAGUAUUAAUGGGGAUUGUUGGGGGCAUCCGAAUUUAGCCGUCAGAGGUGAAAUUCUUGGAUCUGCUAAAGACGGACAACUGCGAAAGCGUUUGCCCAGGAUGGUUUCAUUGA